rnacentral:lncRNA from 1 species
AAAUGUCAGGGCUAGAGAUAUGGCUUAACAGUUAAGAGCACUGCUUGCUCUAACAGAGGAACUGGGGUUGAUUCCUAGCACCCACGUGAUAGUUCACAAACAUUCAAUACCUUCUUCUGGCCUCUGCAAGUACCAUGCAUGCAUGUGGUGCACAGACAUGCAUGCAAACAAAACAUACACAUAAAAAGAAAAAACCUUAUACCAAAAAAGUAAGAUAAUUUAAAAAAUAUUAAUUAUAAGGUUUCUUUUUAUAGAUAUUCCUGGAGGUUCUUUUGAAAAUGAAUUAUUAAAUGCAUAUGGUUUUAUCUGCUGUUAAUGUCUUUUAUGAUGAAAUUCUUUUGAGUGGUUUUGGUUUUUAAUCUGGAAACUGCUGGGGUACUAUAAGAUGGGACAACAGUCAGGUUUACCUUGUUUGAUUCAGGUUGCCUAAAAGCAUUCCUGUUCUGUUUGCAUAUCUCACAGCACAUUCUGCUGGUCGACAGCAGUGUCCACUGGGAAAGACUAGUCAGUGUGUGCUGGUGCUUAAGGUGUCUGCUCAAGUGGUAGUUCAGAGCUAGCAGUACAAAAAUCUCAAAUUUUUCAUUCCUCUCUAUGUUACUCUAUAUGUUUCCUCUUCUAUUAAAUAUUUACUCCUCCAAACUUAGAUAUAUUUGUCUUGAUAUGUUCAUGAUAUACAGCUGUGUGUGGGUGUCUGUAACCACCUUCAUAUUUGGAAAUUUGUUAUAAAGAUUGUAUGUAGUUUUACUUGGUAGAGAUUUAUUUCUGUGAGAUAUAGUAAGAGCAUAUAGCUAAGGGCUGGAGAGACAGCUCAGUGGUUAAGAACACUGGCUGUUUUCACAGAGGAUCCAGGUUGGAUUCCUGGUACCCGCAUGGCAGCUCAUAGCUGUCUGUAACUCUAGGUUCAGGGACUCCAGUGCCCUCUUUUGGCCUCUGUAGGCACCAAGUAUGCAUAGAGUGUACAGAAAUACAUACAGGCACAACAUUCCUAUGCAUUUUGUUUUAAAGAGUGUAUAGUCAGAUUCUAUGGGGAGAACACAAUAGAGUCUGGAGGAGCCUGUGGUGGUUUGUAUACAGUACAGGUUUCCUUGUCCUUUUCCCUUUUUCUCUCUCUCUUUUUUUUUUUUUUUUGGUGUUUUUGAGACAGGGUUUCUCUGUAUAGUCCUGGCUGUCCUGGAACUCACUUUGUAGACCAGGCUGGCCUCGAACUCAGAAAUCCGUCUGCCUCUGCCUCCCAAGUGCUGGGAUUACAGUCGUGCGCCACCACACCCGGCUCCUUUUCCCUUUCUUAUACAGGCUAUACAGUAUGCAUUUUUACCUCAACCAUAAAAACACAGCAAUAUGUGAAUAUUUCUGCCUUGAAAAUUUAUUAGAAACUCAGAACUACAUUUUUUAGUUUAUCAUAUACUGAUGCCUCUCUUACAUGUUUAACAAAGGCCCACAGUCUCUGAAGGAAAGCAGAUCUUUGACAUAAACCAUAUUAUUUGUGCAGCAUAGAGACAGUGACCCAGUGUUAUCAGGUACAGAAUGGUGGGAACCCCUACAAUUCAAGUUUGUAUAUUCCAGCCAAGGGCCAACCUUGAAAAUAGGCCUUUUUUUUUUGUUUUGUUUUUAAUUUUUUUUCAAUGUUGGGGGUUAAACUCAUGGCCUUGGAGGAGCUAUGUCUUCAACAACCCCCUUUUUUCCCAAAUAAAUAGAUAGGUAGAUAGAUAGAUAGAUAGAUAGAUAGAUAGAUAGAUAGAUAGAUAGAUAGAUAGCAUUAACUUAUUGUGGCUUAAUGGUAGGGUGGUUCUCUGGAGAGGGGACAUACGGAUGUUAAAGGGUAACUUAUGAUUAUAGGGCAACAAGUUGAAUUUCUCCGUGUGGGUCCUUGGGGUCAAAAGCGGGUCAGGUGUGGUGGUAGGUGCAUUUUACUGUACGCACUGAGCCAGUUUACUGGCCCUAUUCAUUUAUUUAUUGAUUGAUUGAUUGCCAGGGUCUCACUAAGUUGCCUGAGCUAAGUUGCCUUGAAGCUCACGGAGCACAAGUAGGCUCUGACCAUGGGCUCCUCCCUCCUCAGCCUUCUGAGGAUCUAGGAUCACAGCUCUUUAUCACCAAGCCACUGUAAGCAGCCUUUCUGAGGAGGGCCGUGUCAGGCCUACCAUGGUUAACUUUCUCUGCACAGUGAAUAAGAAGACCUAUUUGGUCUGGUUAAGUGUAAAUGUUCACAAUUCUUGCAGUUAGAGCAUGCAAGUUCAUAAUUGACAGUAUGAAUGUGGAGCAGGUGAUUCCAGAGAAAUGUGUGGUCUUCUAUAAAGCAGAUAGCUAAGGAGGCUUAAGGGGAGCACCUAUGUUCAGAAAGACAUUGAGAAAACACAUGACAGUGGGGAGAGAGGUGGCUUGGUGCUUAAGAGCCACGGCUGCUCUUACAGAGGACCUGGGUUCAAUCGCCAGCACUCACCCUGUGCUUCAGAACCAUCUGUAACUCUAGUUCCAGGGGAUCUGAGACCCUCUGCUGGUUUUGUUGGCCAUCAUGCCAACAAUAGGAGUCUGCCAAGGUAGGUCGGAAAGUAUAGUGGUUGUGGUAUUAGUGUCCCAUUGUUCUGUCAGUGUGUCAGUGUGAUUUAGCAUGCAGAGUGUCACUGUUGAGAGUAAGGAGUUGGUUAUGAGCCUCAAGGGAGAAGAAGGUGUUUUGGAGGAUUUAAUAUGAGUACUAGGACAGAAAAAUAAGAAAGUCUAUC